rnacentral:rRNA from 1 species
GAUGAACGCUGGCGGCGUGCCUAAUACAUGCAAGUCGAGCGAACGGACGAGAAGCUUGCUUCUCUGAUGUUAGCGGCGGACGGGUGAGUAACACGUGGAUAACCUACCUAUAAGACUGGGAUAACUUCGGGAAACCGGAGCUAAUACCGGAUGAUAUUUUGAACCGCAUGGUUCAAAAGUGAAAGACGGUCUUGCUGUCACUUAUAGAUGGAUCCGCGCUGCAUUAGCUAGUUGGUAAGGUAACGGCUUACCAAGGCAACGAUGCAUAGCCGACCUGAGAGGGUGAUCGGCCACACUGGAACUGAGACACGGUCCAGACUCCUACGGGAGGCAGCAGUAGGGAAUCUUCCGCAAUGGGCGAAAGCCUGACGGAGCAACGCCGCGUGAGUGAUGAAGGUCUUCGGAUCGUAAAACUCUGUUAUUAGGGAAGAACAUAUGUGUAAGUAACUGUGCACAUCUUGACGGUACCUAAUCAGAAAGCCACGGCUAACUACGUGCCAGCAGCCGCGGUAAUACGUAGGUGGCAAGCGUUAUCCGGAAUUAUUGGGCGUAAAGCGCGCGUAGGCGGUUUUUUAAGUCUGAUGUGAAAGCCCACGGCUCAACCGUGGAGGGUCAUUGGAAACUGGAAAACUUGAGUGCAGAAGAGGAAAGUGGAAUUCCAUGUGUAGCGGUGAAAUGCGCAGAGACAUGGAGGAACACCAGUGGCGAAGGCGACUUUCUGGUCUGUAACUGACGCUGAUGUGCGAAAGCGUGGGGAUCAAACAGGAUUAGAUACCCUGGUAGUCCACGCCGUAAACGAUGAGUGCUAAGUGUUAGGGGGUUUCCGCCCCUUAGUGCUGCAGCUAACGCAUUAAGCACUCCGCCUGGGGAGUACGACCGCAAGGUUGAAACUCAAAGGAAUUGACGGGGACCCGCACAAGCGGUGGAGCAUGUGGUUUAAUUCGAAGCAACGCGAAGAACCUUACCAAAUCUUGACAUCCUUUGACAACUCUAGAGAUAGAGCCUUCCCCUUCGGGGGACAAAGUGACAGGUGGCGCAUGGUUGUCGUCAGCUCGUGUCGUGAGAUGUUGGGUUAAGUCCCGCAACGAGCGCAACCCUUAAGCUUAGUUGCCAUCAUUAAGUUGGGCACUCUAAGUUGACUGCCGGUGACAAACCGGAGGAAGGUGGGGAUGACGUCAAAUCAUCAUGCCCCUUAUGAUUUGGGCUACACACGUGCUACAAUGGACAAUACAAAGGGCAGCGAAACCGCGAGGUCAAGCAAAUCCCAUAAAGUUGUUCUCAGUUCGGAUUGUAGUCUGCAACUCGACUACAUGAAGCUGGAAUCGCUAGUAAUCGUAGAUCAGCAUGCUACGGUGAAUACGUUCCCGGGUCU